GGGCGGAAGUGUGAAGGGAGGAGAGUCCGAGAGAAUGUUGACAGAUCCCAAUCAACUUGCCGAGGAAGGAUGGUAACGAUUGAGAUGCCGAAGCCUAGCAACAGCGCGCGGGGCCACGCCCCCUGCGCCGGCGAUUGGGCGAAUUCGUGCAUGUUAAGUAGGCGCCGCGCGCUGAUUGGCCAUGUAAAGUGCCCCGUGACAGCGGGGAUGCUCGCUGGGGCAGCGUCCAAUGGGCGCCGUUGAACUUGACGUUGCUGUGAGGAAGGAAAAAGUUGAAGAGGGAGAGAGAGAAAAACUAAAGGGGACACGGCCGGUUAGGGACCGUGGAGAAAUAAUAAGACCAGAAGAAAAACGGCCUGGUGGAUUACGUAGGGGCCUAGAUUAAUUUCCCCAUGACAAACUGGUCAGGCUCUGACUGCAGUACCGCAUCAUCCACCAAGAUUUUCUGCUGAAAUGGCCCGUAAAACCUACGAUUUCUCUCUUUGUACGUCCUAAUGCAGGUCAGUGAUCACUUUAAGAGCGUUAAGGCCAGUACUGACAGGAAGAUUUCCCCAGAUAUGUGCGCUGAGCGAUCUAUCAGUGCGAUGUGUGCUGAGCGAGGGGAAGGCGGGCGGGCCGCUCAUUUCACCCAGCGGUGAAAUGAGCGACCUGCUAGAUUGUGACUGCAUGCAGGCCAAUCUAGCACGGGAGAUAGCGAUGCGCGGGACUGCGCAUCGCUAUCGCUGUAGGGG